AAAUUAAAUCUUUUAAUAUAAAAAUCAACAAAACAUUUUUAUAAUUACUGCUAAAACAAUUAACAACUAAUUAAGUACAGAAAUGGAAAUCUAAAAAUUAAUAUAAGUAGUUUUAUAAAACGUACCUUGUGCAUUAUGGUUUUACAAGUAAUAAAUUAAAUAUAACACCCCGAAUUCUAAACGAGUUGCAUUAAUACUGCUGAGAGCUAACUAAUAACUGUGGCACCAGUUUUAGAAGAUAUAAAUGCAGAGGCUACAUACCACUCGCGUUAGAAGAUUGCUGGUUCUCAAUAAAAUUUAUAUAUUAAAACACGUAUAUAUAUAUACAAUGUAAAACUACUGAGGAUAAGCCCCGUAGUAAAAACAAUUUAUAUAGCACAUUAAGCAUAUUAUAGGCUUAAAAUCAGCCACAAAUAAUACUUCACCGUAAAAUAAAUAAGUUAAUACAUAACAUUAAAAUGUUAAAUAUACCUGAGAUAUUAAUAAAAAAAUAAUUCAUUAAUUUUAUUAUGUAAAAAUUAGUAUUACUUAUUSUUUAA
rnacentral:rRNA from 1 species